rnacentral:rRNA from 1 species
AUUGAACGCUGGCGGCAGGCUUAACACAUGCAAGUCGAACGAGUGGCGGCCGGGUGAGUAAUGCGUGGGCAUCUGGCUUAUGGAGGGGGAUAACGACGGGAAACUGUCGCUAAUAACGCGAACCAUAGGAUGAGCCCAAGUGGGAUUAGGUAGUUGGGGGGGUAAAGGCCUACAAAGCUGACGAUCUCUAGCUGGUCGGAGAGGAGGACCAGCCACACCGGGACUGAGACACGGCCCGGACUCUUACGGGAGGCAGCAGUGGGGAAUAUUGCGCAAGGGGGGCAACCCUGACGCAGCCAUGCCGCGUGAAUGAAGAAGGCCUUCGGGUUGUAAAGUUCUUUCGGUAGUGAGGCGUUAAAGACAGAAGAAGCACCGGCUAACUCCGUGCCAGCGGCCGCUGUAAUUC